CAUUGCACCGGCAAGGCUGGAAGCCAUGGAAACGAGUCGACGCUCGUUUCCAUGGCUUCCAGCCUUGCCGGUGCAAUGGA